rnacentral:rRNA from 1 species
UGUAAUUUGGAAAACCCCGGGGAAGGGGCCCCCUGGAUUGUUUUACCGUGAGGUGAAAACGUGGAGCAAACAGGUUAGAUACCCUGGUAUCCACCCGUAAACGAUGAUAACUAGCUUUCCGGGCCACUUGGUGCUUGGGGGGCGCAGUUAACGCAUAAAGUUUUCCGCCUUGGGGAGUACGGUUCGCAAGAUUAAAAUUCAAGGAAUUGGAGGGGGCCUGCACAAGCGGGGGAGCAUGUGGUUUAAUUGGAAGCAACGCGCAGAACCUUACCAGCGUUUGACCAUGUUCCGGACGAUUUCCAGAGAUGGAUCUCUUCCCUUCGGGGACUGGAACACAGGUGCUGCAUGGCUGUCGUCAGCUCGUGUCGUGAGAUGUUGGGUUAAGUCCCGCAACGAGCGCAACCUUCGCCUUUAGUUACCAUCGUUUAGUUGGGGACUCUAAAGGAACCGCCGGUGAUAAGCCGGAGGAAGGUGGGGAUGACGUCAAGUCCUCAUGGCCCUUACGCGCUGGGCUACACACGUGCUACAAUGGCGGUGACAGUGGGCAGCAAACUCGCGAGAGUGCGCUAAUCUCCAAAAGCCGUCUCAGUUCGGAUUGUUCUCUGCAACUCGAGAGCAUGAAGGCGGAAUCGCUAGUAAUCGCGGAUCAGCAUGCCGCGGUGAAUACGUUCCCAGGCCUUGUACACACCGCCCGUCACACCAUGGGAGUUGGGUUCACCCGAAGGCGUUGCGCUAACUCGCAAGAGAGGCAGGCGACCACGGUGGGCUUAGCGACUGGGGUGAAGUCGUAACAAGGUAGCCGUAGGGGAACCUGCGGCUGGAUCACCUCCUUUCU